rnacentral:tRNA from 1 species
UCCUCUGUAGUUCAGUCGGUAGAACGGCGGACUGUUAAUCCGUAUGUCACUGGUUCGGGUCCAGUCAGAGGAGCCA